ACUUUCACUGUAAGAUACCAGAGGGAAAGAGGUGCUGAAUACCUUUCUUGGGGUGUGAGGUUUGGGUGGGCUUCUAUCUUCUUUGGUGUGAACAAAGAAGGAGACUGAUCUCCUCUCGAGUGAGAGACCUAUAACUGUUCUAAGAUUUUUAGGUGAGAGAAAAAUCAAAGAAGAGUGAGUCUUCAUCAAAUUUUUCUCCAUUAUCUAGCAUCUUUCUCUAAUCCAUCUUUAACAUCAAAAAGGUUUGAGGUGAUCAAAGAAGGAGAUCAAAUCAGAUCAGCCAUCUGAAGCCGACUAUGUGAGCUAGAACUCUCGCAUAGGGCUGAUCGAUCCGAGGGCUUUGUGUGGACGAUCCGUAGAGGUCGGAUGCUUGUGCAACUGUGAGUGACUAGAGAGGACAUUUAGUUCUACAUUCUCAGUUAUGGAGUUCGAC
rnacentral:lncRNA from 1 species